CUGGUUUCACAGAGCAGCGA
rnacentral:siRNA from 1 species